AUUGAACGCUGGCGGCAUGCUUUACACAUGCAAGUCGAACGGUAACAGGCCUUCGGGUGCUGACGAGUGGCGAACGGGUGAGUAAUGCAUCGGAACGUACCCAGAGGUGGGGGAUAACGCAGCGAAAGCUGUGCUAAUACCGCAUGUGAUCUGAGGAUGAAAGCGGGGGACCGAGCAGCAAUGUUUGGCCUCGCGCCUUUGGAGCGGCCGAUGUCGGAUUAGCUAGUUGGUGGGGUAAAGGCCUACCAAGGCGACGAUCCGUAGCUGGUCUGAGAGGACGACAAGCCACAAUGGAACUGAGACACGGCCCAGACUCCUAAGGGAGGCAGCAGUGGGGAAUGUUGGACAAUGGGCGCAAGCCUGAUCCAGCAAUGCCGCGUGCGGGAAGAAGGCCUUCGGGUUGUAAAACGCUUUUGGCAGGAACGAAACGGUGUCCGCUAAUACCGGGCGCUAACGACGGUACCUGCAGAAUAAGCACCGGCUAACUACGUG
rnacentral:rRNA from 1 species